AUACGUCGGGGGCGAGCGUUGUCCGGAAUGAUUGGGCGUAAAGGGCGCGUAGGCGGCGCGGUAAGUCUGGAGUGAAAGUCCUGCUUUCAAGGUGGGAAUUGCUUUGGAUACUGCCGCGCUUGCGUGCAGGAGAGGUUAUCGGAAUUCCCGGUGUAGCGGUGCAAUGCGUAGAGAUCGGGAGGAACACCAGUGGCGAAGGCGGGUAACUGGACUGCAACUGACGCUGAGGCGCGAAAGUGUGGGGAGCAAACAGGAUUAGAUACCCUGGUAGUCCACACUGUAAACGAUGGGCGCUCGUCGUCGGCGGCAGACAGUCGGCGGCCAAGCGAAAGCGAUAAGCGCCCCACCUGGGGAGUACGGUCGCAAGGCUGAAACUUAAAGGAAUUGGCGGGG
rnacentral:rRNA from 1 species